GAUGAACGCUGGCGGCGUGCCUAAUACAUGCAAGUCGAGCGAACAGACGAGGAGCUUGCUCCUCUGACGUUAGCGGCGGACGGGUGAGUAACACGUGGAUAACCUACCUAUAAGACUGGGAUAACUUCGGGAAACCGGAGCUAAUACCGGAUAAUAUAUUGAACCGCACGGUUCAAUAGUGAAAGACGGUUUUGCCGUCACUUAUAGAUGGAUCCGCGCCGCAUUAGCUAGUUGGUAAGGUAACGGCUUACCAAGGCAACGAUGCGUAGCCGACCUGAGAGGGUGAUCGGCCACACUGGAACUGAGACACGGUCCAGACUCCUACGGGAGGCAGCAGUAGGGAAUCUUCCGCAAUGGGCGAAAGCCUGACGGAGCAACGCCGCGUGAGUGAUGAAGGUCUUCGGAUCGUAAAACUCUGUUAUUAGGGAAGAACAAAUGUGUAAGUAACUAUGCACGUCUUGACGGUACCUAAUCAGAAAGCCACGGCUAACUACGUG
rnacentral:rRNA from 1 species